AGCAGCGGUUCUCAACCUGUGGGUCGCGACCCCUUUGGGGGUCGAACGACCCUUUCACAGGGGUCGCCUAUGACCAUCAGAAAACACAUAUAUAAUUGCAUAUUGUUUUGUGAUUAAUCACUAUGCUUUAAUUAUGCUCAAUUUGUAACAAGAAAUUGGGGGUCACCGCAACAUGAGGAACUGUAUUAAAGGGUCGCGGCAUUAGGAAGGUUGAGAACCACUGCUCUAAGUCAACAAGUGUUGGGGGAAUGAAAGAUAGACCACUCUUGUGCCAGAUCCUGUGCUCUCCUGGUUGUGGGAAAAGCACAACAGAUAUGAGAGAAUAAACGCAUUCAGUUAGAA